ACCAGACUCCUACGGGAGGCAGCAGUGGGGAAUAUUGGGCAAUGGAGGAAACUCUUACCCAGCAAUGCCGCGUGAAUGAAGAAGGUCUUCGGAUUGUAAAGUUCUUUAAUUGGGGACGAAAAAAAUGACGGUACCCGACGAAGAAGCACCGGCUAAAUACGUGCCAGCAGCCGCGGUAAUACGUAUGGUGCGAGCGUUGUCCGGAUUUACUGGGCGUGAAGGGGGCGCAGGCGGCGCGCCAAGCCCGAUGUGAAAGCCCGGGGCUCAACCCCGGGACUGCAUUGGGAACUGGCGUGCUGGAGUGCCGGAGGGGCAGGCGGAAUUCCUGGUGUAGCGGUGAAAUGCGUAGAUAUCAGGAGGAACACCGGUGGCGAAGGCGGCCUGCUAGACGGAUACUGACGCUGAGGCCCGAAAGCGUGGGGAGCGAACAGGAUUAGAUACCCUAGUA
rnacentral:rRNA from 1 species